rnacentral:rRNA from 1 species
GACGAACGCUGGCGGCGUGCUUAACACAUGCAAGUCGAACGAUGAUGCCCAGCUUGCUGGGUGGAUUAGUGGCGAACGGGUGAGUAACACGUGAGUAACCUGCCCUUGACUCUGGGAUAAGCGUUGGAAACGACGUCUAAUACUGGAUAUGACUACUCGGAGCAUGGCCUGGUGGUGGAAGGAUUGUUGGUUGGGGAUGGACGCGCGGCCUAUCAGCUUGUUGGUGAGGUAAUGGCUCACCAAGGCGACGACGGGUAGCCGGCCUGAGAGGGUGACCGGCCACACUGGGACUGAGACACGGCCCAGACUCCUACGGGAGGCAGCAGUGGGGAAUAUUGCACAAUGGGCGAAAGCCUGAUGCAGCAACGCCGCGUGAGGGAUGACGGCCUUCGGGUUGUAAACCUCUUUUAGUAGGGAAGAAGCGAAAGUGACGGUACCUGCAGAAGAAGCACCGGCUAACUACGUGCCAGCAGCCGCCGUAA